UACGAAGGGGGCUAGCGUUGCUCGGAAUCACUGGGCGUAAAGCGCACGUAGGCGGAUCUUUAAGUCAGGGGUGAAAUCCUGGAGCUCAACUCCAGAACUGCCUUUGAUACUGGGGAUCUCGAGUCCGGAAGAGGUGAGUGGAACUCCGAGUGUAGAGGUGAAAUUCGUAGAUAUUCGGAAGAACACCGGUGGCGAAGGCGGGUCUACUGGGCCGAUACUGACGCUGAGGAGC
rnacentral:rRNA from 1 species